CCUACGGGCGGCAGCAGUGAGGAAUAUUGGUCAAUGGACGAGAGUCUGAACCAGCCAAGUAGCGUGAAGGAUGACUGCCCUAUGGGUUGUAAACUUCUUUUAUAUGGGAAUGAAAUGUUCCACGUGUGGGAUUUUGUAUGUACCAUAUGAAUAAGGAUCGGCUAACUCCGUGCCAGCAGCCGCGGUAAUACGGAGGAUCCGAGCGUUAUCCGGAUUUAUUGGGUUUAAAGGGAGCGUAGGUGGAUUGUUAAGUCAGUUGUGAAAGUUUGCGGCUCAACCGUAAAAUUGCAGUUGAAACUGGCAGUCUUGAGUACAGUAGAGGUGGGCGGAAUGCGUGGUGUAGCGGUGAAAUGCUUAGAUAUCACGAAGAACUCCGAUUGCGAAGGCAGUUCACUGGACUGCAACUGACACUGAGGCUCGAAAGUGUGGGUAUCAAACAGGAUUAGAUACCCCAGUAGUC
rnacentral:rRNA from 1 species